rnacentral:lncRNA from 1 species
UCAAUUAGCAAAAUAGGGAAAGAAAUGGUCUUGAUUGAAGAAAAAUAAAUAAUUGUCAGAAAAUUGUCCAUUUACAAGGAAAUCAUAUUUUUCUUUUUAGGAAUAAACUGAAUGCAGCAAUCAAUAUAUUAUUUUUAAUUAUUGCUUGUAAUUAUUGUCGUAAUGUUGAUUCAAAUUAUUACCAAAUAUAACAACAUUUCAAAAAUAUUCUAAAGUGAUCUGUCAUGCAUUAAUAUUAAUUGCUUAUGGGCAUUUUUCCAAGGAACUCAAAUCCAAUUCAUCACGUGCAGCACCUCUCCCAUUUUAUUCACAUGCACCCCCCUUUUCUUUUUUUCCUUCUUCCUUAUUUCCUUUUAUUUUUGUUUUUCUUUUUCGUUUUUUUCUUCCCUUUUUUUAUUUUUCUUUUCCCUUUUUUUUCCUUUUUGUUUGCAAUUAUUUUUCUGUUUUUCUUUUUUUCCUUUUCUUUAAAAGACUAAACAAAAUAGUAAAAUAAAAUCAAAAAUAAUAAAAUAAGAUAAAAGUAAAAAAAAACAAAUUCUAUUAUUUAGCCACCCGGACGAAAUUGGGUGUUGACAAUCACAAAACAAUAUAAACUCCCCUUGAAAUAUAGAUGUGUGAUGAAACAAUGUGUAAAAUUGUGAUACUCCCC